GGCACUGCUCAUACGCGAAUUCAGCUCUGCGCAUGCGCAAGAGCCCGCUGGCAACUGCUCAUACGAACCUUGAAUUCACCUUCCAUUCUCUUUACUGCUCUCUAUCCUGCCGCGCGGUUGAUACAUUUGUUAGAGAACCUAUAUACACGCUCUCUAACCAGUAGCGUUCGCGGUGGAUCGUCGUGUAAUACCAGCUUAAAUGGUGAAGGUGUACUACUGUCGUCAUUUAUAUCUUUUCAGCUCGGGUCGUGGAGUAAGCAAAGGUAUUACGUGUUGUGAUUAUAGAGAACAUCUCGAAAGUAGCAAGAGGUUGACGAGGUAAAUCAUCUAAAAAUGUUUGUAUGUGAACAGCUCAAAUCAGAUUUUUACAGAAAGUUGUUGGAGAUUGAUUGUUCAUGAAAUCACACAAUCAUUCCGGAGAUGACCAUGUAGAAGUAUUGAAAAGUGUGCAAUGCCUUUCAUUGCGAACGCUGCACGCAAUGCAGCUGUAGAAACGAUGUUUGUUUUAAAUUUGACUGAUAAAAGAAAUUACUUUCUGUACAGCGCGUUAAGAAUUUGUUGAUCGUGAAGUAAAACGAUAAAGAUCGUGCUUGUACUCAAUACUGUGAUAACAUCAAAUCCAAGAAAGAUUUACUUAAGAAGAAGCGGUGAAAUGAAACCUAUGCUUUUGUAAAAAAAAGUAAGCUAUUGUCGUUCACGUAAAGACUGUAAUAACCCUAGUUUUUUAUUUUAAAAUGUAGUAAGCCUGUUAUUGUCUCCGUAGUAAUGCCAAACUUUUUUUUUAAAAUAUGUGUUAGGCCUAUAUGUAGCGUAUAACAUGGGAAGUAAGAGAGCACGAAAACCGGAGUUGGUGCAUUUAAGCGGUGUAUACCGUCUUCAUGGUGUUUCAAGAAAUUAAAAUUUUUGGAAGAAUACUAUAUGCCACAGACAAGGAAAAAGUACACAUGUACUUGUCACAGAAGAAAGCUAAGGUAGACAACAGUGUGUCGUAUGAAAGUGUUCCUGCAGCAUCUUCCACCACUAAUAUUGCAGAAGUCCAAGAAGAAGAUUGUGGGGAGCCUCUGGACAUUGAAAGAAGUGUUAGUGUGUGUGUGUCACAUGACAUGGUACUGCCAUGUCCAGUGUCAUAUCAGAUUCAAAGUUUGCUUCGGAUUAAAUACAAAUGUAAUAUUGCUUUUUCUACAAAUAACAACUUGUGAAAAAAUAUCAUCCAUAAUUUAAAGUCAACUACUAGCCCUGUGCAGAAUUCUGGUGUCUACAAGAUUUCAUGUGACACUUGAGGUGCCUGGAUUCCGAGUGCAUACCAUGCUGUGUAUAUCUUUGUCGAGAGUUUCAUAGCAUGUUCAUUCCACUUCAUUUUGCUGUCAAUGGGCAGCCCUAAGAAUUUUGUUGUAGGUACAUCAUCUAUGUUCUUUAUGUUGAGUUAUUUUGUUUUCCUGAGACCAUUUGUCAACAUCCCUCAGCACUUCAGUUGAAUUUUCCAGCGUUUGUGCUGGUAUCUUACUGGUGAUUACUAUGUUGCUGUCAUCAGCAAACAAUAUCUUCUCUCCAUGGCUGAUACGUUGUGGGAAAUCAUUUAUAUACACCAGAAACAAUACUGGGCCCAGUACACUUCCUUGAGUGGCCCCAAUAUUGAUGUAUUGUGGAUCAGAUAUGUUUCUUAAUGUACUUUGAUCAACUGGAGAUGUGUGUAAUCUCUACUGACUGUACUCUGUUUUCUAGAUAUGAACAAAACCAUUUGAGAACCACUCCCCUUACUCCUAAUGCCUCUAACUUAUGAUUUGAUAUAAAAGAUAAACAAUUGACUUUUUGAAAAAUUAAAAUUAUCACUGUAAGUACUUCUUCAUUGUGAUACCCAUGUAUAAAUUUAAGGAUUUUUACUUAACUGAAAAUAGAUUCUUACAAAGUUUCCAAUUUAUUUUCAUGUGGUCGUAGAUUCCAGGUACCUGGGUCAGAACGUUGUAGAUUGAGCAACUAUUUAGUUUUUACUCUUUAUUAUACAUACAGGCAAAGGUGCUUUGUAAAAUUUAACAAAGUUAGUUUCCGAAGUAACUUACUUUAUGGCCAAGAAGUUGAUAGACGACUUGUUACUUUGGCUUUUGGAAGUUACCUUCAAACAAUCCUGCAAGAAAUAGGACAUCUCAUUAGCCUUUUAUUUGUAUCUUACAAACAUACGACCUGCAUCUCAUCCUGUAGUAAGGCUGAUUAAGUGAAGUACAGUAAUCAGUUUUACAAUCUACUUUAAUAUUAAAAUUUGAGGACUUUACACCACAUGUUCAGCAUAAGCACUGGACAGCUGAACUUCCAGUUGUACUAUUUAUUUAUUUAUUUGUCCAUAUAAAUCUCUUUUUAAGAACAUAUAUUGUAUACAGAAUAUUGGACAGAAAACGAUUUUAACUAUUGGGUUUUCAAAUGUCAAACAUACAUUUUAUAAAUUUUUAUGACAAAUUGGAACUAUACAGUUAAUAAUUACAAAUUUUUGAAAUACUGUAUAUUUAUAACUUAUUUUUACAAUUAAAGAUACAAAUUCAUUUUUUUUCUUGCAUAAGAUACUGUGAGAUUGAAUAGUAGCAGUUUUUCAGAAGGUAGGAUGUCAGACUUUUUAAAGCUUUGUAGUUCAGUAAGAGACUUUAUAUGUCUUGAUAAUUUGUUGUAAAGUUUUGUUCCUGCAUGAUAUACACCUUUUUGGCAUAAUGUGGUGUUACAAUGAUUAACAUGUAUGUCACUGUCUGACCUGGUACUGUAAUCAUAGACACUUUUGUUUUGAGGAAAAGGUUUUCUUUUCUCAGUAUGCUUUUUUUGACAUGUGUGACUACUUCCAGUAUGUAAAUGCAGGGAAACGGUAGGAUCUUUAGAUCUUUAAAGAAAGAUUUGCAUUA